GGUUUCCGUAGGUGAACUGCGGAAGGAUCAUUA
rnacentral:rRNA from 5 species